rnacentral:rRNA from 1 species
AGGGAAUCUUCGGCAAUGGACGGAAGUCUGACCGAGCAACGCCGCGUGAGUGAAGAAGGUUUUCGGAUCGUAAAGCUCUGUUGUAAGAGAAGAACGAGUGUGAGAGUGGAAAGUUCACACUGUGACGGUAUCUUACCAGAAAGGGACGGCUAACUACGUGCCAGCAGCCGCGGUAAUACGUAGGUCCCGAGCGUUAUCCGGAUUUAUUGGGCGUAAAGCGAGCGCAGGCGGUUAGAUAAGUCUGAAGUUAAAGGCUGUGGCUUAACCAUAGUACGCUUUGGAAACUGUUUAACUUGAGUGCAAGAGGGGAGAGUGGAAUUCCAUGUGUAGCGGUGAAAUGCGUAGAUAUAUGGAGGAACACCGGUGGCGAAAGCGGCUCUCUGGCUUGUAACUGACGCUGAGGCUCGAAAGCGUGGGGAGCAAACAGGAUUAGAUACCCUGGUAGUCCACGCCGUAAACGAUGAGUGCUAGGUGUUAGACCCUUUCCGGGGUUUAGUGCCGCAGCUAACGCAUUAAGCACUCCGCCUGGGGAGUACGACCGCAAGGUUG